AUUUUAGAUGUGUUUUGUGUGUUUUUCGCGGCUGAAAACCAAUGCUGCCACUCAGUGGGCGUGACCGCAGUCGUAACGGUCGACGGUGACGUCACAUGCAUACCCUCUGGUUCAAAGUUAUCUGGUUUCAUGGAACCUUUUUUCUGAAUUCCGUGUUUUAAAUGUUACAAAUGUUCAGAGAACAUUCCGUUUCCAUAAUGUGUGAAUGGAAUGUUCUGUUAACAUUCCGUUAAAAAGUUUAGAGAACAUUAAGAAAUAACAUUUUCACAAUGUAAUGGGAACGUUAGCAAAAUGUUUUUAGAGCAUAUUUUGUUUGCUGCAUUUGAUAUUACUGUAAUUCUUAUUUCUGGUUGAAUUCACUGCAUUUGAAGCCUUUGUAAAAAUGCUGAUAGAGACAAUAAAGCACCAGGUUCUUCAGACGUGUCUGGUUUCUCCGAAGCUCCACACACCCUGCAGACAGAGAAAGAACAAAUCACCAUCAUGAUGUGACAUCCUUGAUCUAAAACGAUGUUUCUGUCCUCGGCAAAGCCAUUUACUCUCCGUCAACAAAUACUCCUGCACUUCUCUCUCUUAAGGUGCAAACUAAGGCUUUCUGAUCCCUUUCCAUUUCUGUUGGAUGUUGUGAUCGAGGGGACAGAAUCUGGAUCCCCCGCUGGCGUUGGCUCUUUCAGCCGGACCUGAACCCCCCGCCUCGGCUGCUCAAUUACACCGCAGGCGUCUCCAUCCGCUCCUCCAAUUACCACACCGGCCCCUUUAUUUACAACCACGUGCAUACGUGAAGACAAAUUGCCUCGAGAUCACUCGGGCCUGCUACAAUUUGGACAUUUCUUCUGCCGAGAUGAAGCCGCUGUUGAAUUAGACGCUCAGGCUGUGUUCAGAAUCACAUGCUUACAUACUACACACUGUGUACUGUAGUAUGAACACUUUUCUCUAGGUGUGAAUAUACACUCUUAAGCCAGGGUUCACACUGUAUGAUUACAAUAGACCUGUUGCUUCUCAGACUGGUGGCUAGCAAACAAAUACAAUGUUCAUUUUGAUCAUGGCUUUAUUUAAAGGCGCAAUAUGUAAUAUUUUUGGAUUAAAAUAUCCAAAAACCACUAGAA